GCUCAGAGCUCAGGCCGACAGCCUGCGCCCCUAGUCUGAUUAUGAAAGGGAAAGUGACGCUUUCACCAGGCAGCUCCGAGGCCGGGAGCUUUUGUCUGGGAAGGAAUGCAAAAGGCUUUAUUCACUCCCCCACGUCCCGGGCCUAAAGAGAUGAGAGUGAGGGCUGGACACGCUUUGAAAGCGCCUCGGAUCUUGCUCUUUAUUCCCUGCUUCCUCCCCUUUCUGAAAUCGUGCGGCAGCCAUUGUCGCAGCUGCUCAGGGGUAGGGGUGGCGGCUGCGGCUGCUUAUGUAAGUUUGGCUUUGCGGGAAGCCCCACUCCCUGCUCCAUACGGGCGACUCUGUGCGCUCGCGAUUUGGGGAGCAGUUGCAAAGGGCAGCUUUACUGUGGAGGUGUAGUUGGGGGCUACAUCUUUUCUUGCACUUACCCACAUAAAUACUGGCAAUGGCUGUCUUCCGGUUUGACUCAUCUGAACUUAGCAAUUGGAACAUCUCUAUAGAAAAAAAUGAGCCAGUGAACACAUGGUCUCUCCUUUCAGGUCCUCAAGAGAUCUUGAGGAGGGGGACAGCCAAAUACACACUGGCCACAUAUGCGCACACACAGGACACACAUGGACACUGUAUGACCCGUGCACUUUUACUUUCUAAGCCCCAGAAGUUACAUCAGUAGGAAGUGACAGGGUAGGAAACUUCUCCCUGGACUGCUUCUCUCUGGGGGUGACUGUAGUCCCUGGGGACCCUAAAGAACAGGGAGCAAAAUGGUCAAGUAAGAAGCAUCCUUAAAAAUAAUUUUGCUCAGCCUUCACAUUGCAGAUGAGAAACCCCCUUAGUAUUCUAGUUGGCUUAGUGUUUUCUAUAGAGGGAACUUUGGUCUUCAGGUUAGAGGUUUGCAUCAGUUUUUUUUUGUGUGUGUGUGUGGGACUGUAUUACAGCUCAGUCCUUUGCUCCUACUAUAGCAGUUUAUUUGGUCAUCGUUUAGUAGAGAAGAGUUUUGGGUUUUAAGACAUUGGAGUGCAGGAAAGAGUUCUUCGGCUAAGAGUUAAAAAGCUAAAUUUCUUUGAGACUGUGGGGAUAGAGAUAAAAUACCAGGAUUUCACAAGUUCAAUCUUAAAGACAAGUGUGCUCGAUAUCACACAGGUCUGGUGUGUCCCUGAUCAGAGUAAUUCUGAUCUGAAGAUUUUGGCGUUUAAGGCAUUAAGAUAAUUGCCUGAGUUGUUCAUGGAGUUUUUCAUCAGUAUGUCUGAAACCAUUAAAUACAAUGACGAUGAUCAUAAAACUCUGUUUCUGAAAACACUAAAUGAACAACGCCUGGAAGGAGAAUUUUGUGAUAUUGCUAUUGUGGUUGAAGAUGUGAAAUUCAGAGCACACAGAUGUGUUCUUGCCGCCUGCAGCACCUACUUUAAAAAGCUUUUCAAGAAGCUUGAGGUAGAUAGCUCUUCAGUCAUCGAGAUAGAUUUUCUUCGUUCUGAUAUAUUUGAAGAGGUCCUGAACUACAUGUACACAGCAAAGAUCUCCGUGAAAAAGGAAGAUGUUAACUUAAUGAUGUCAUCAGGUCAGAUUCUUGGUAUCAGAUUUUUGGAUAAACUCUGUUCUCAGAAGCGAGAUGUAUCUAGUCCUGAUGAAAAUAAUGGCCAAUCAAAGAGUAAAUAUUGCCUCAAAAUAAAUCGCCCCAUUGGAGAUACUGCUGACACUCAGGAUGAUGAUGUGGAAGAAAUCGGGGAUCAGGAUGACAGUCCUUCAGAUGACACAGUAGAAGGCACCCCCCCAAGUCAAGAGGACGGCAAGUCACCUACGACUACGCUCAGGGUUCAGGAAGCGAUUUUGAAAGAGUUGGGGAGCGAGGAAGUUCGAAAAGUAAAUUGCUACGGUCAGGAAGUAGAAACCAUGGAGACCCCAGAGUCCAAAGAUUUGGGGUCCCAGACCCCUCAAGCCUUAACAUUUAAUGAUGGAAUGAGUGAGGUAAAAGAUGAACAGACACCAGGCUGGACUGCCACCAGUGACAUGAAGUUUGAGUAUUUACUUUAUGGUCACCAUCGGGAGCAGAUUGCCUGUCAAGCAUGUGGUAAGACAUUUUCUGAUGAAGGCAGAUUGAGGAAGCAUGAGAAGCUUCACACCGCAGACCGGCCAUUUGUAUGUGAAAUGUGUACAAAAGGGUUCACCACCCAGGCCCACCUGAAGGAACACUUAAAAAUCCACACAGGGUAUAAGCCCUACAGUUGUGAGGUGUGUGGAAAAUCAUUCAUUCGUGCCCCAGACUUAAAGAAGCAUGAGAGAGUUCACAGUAACGAAAGACCGUUCGCAUGUCACAUGUGUGACAAAGCCUUCAAACACAAGUCCCACCUUAAGGACCAUGAAAGGAGGCACAGAGGCGAAAAGCCCUUUGUGUGUGGCUCCUGCACCAAGGCCUUUGCCAAGGCAUCGGAUCUGAAGAGACAUGAGAACAAUAUGCACAGCGAGAGGAAGCAGGUUACCCCCAGUGCCAUCCAGAGCGAGACCGAACAGUUGCAGGCUGCGGCCAUGGCCGCAGAAGCCGAGCAGCAGUUGGAGACAAUAGCCUGUAGCUAGAGGUGGCAGGACCCGAGUGCUGCGCCUGGGAAGCCGAGACUGGGACGACAUGGAUCGUGAUCAGCGAACGCCAGUUAUUAUGUUUUCAUGGAAAUGAAUGGAGCAGUGUACUUGCUGGACAUAAGGCAGUGAUUGGUUAGGUGUUUUUAAAACUUUGUCAAGGAAAUUACGUUCCUAAGUUCUGACCAAACCGUUUCAGUGUCCUGUCUAGUGUCUAUUGUUGCCAGUAAGCUCCCCUCCCCUUCUUUUUUAUGAUUUUAAUUUGAGAACUCCUAUGUCCAGUUUAGAGGUGAGAGACUUUUAUUUUUAAUCCUCUACACUCGCGUUAUGAGUGCACUGCACAGAGUAAUAAUCGAGUAAAUUGAUUUCUUAAUCAUCAUAGUCACACGUGACUUCUGGUCAAAACAGCAGUUUGAAUAACUUAAUAAACGUUCUUCAUACAGACCCAGAAAAUGCUGGUGGGUGAUUGACCAAGAACACGGCACAAGUGUGAAACCAAGUUCUGGAAAUGCAGAAUGGACUGCAGUAACAAAGCCCAAAACUCGGCAAUUCAAAACAACAGAAAUAAGAUUCUCUCACCAUUCUGGAGGCUGAAACCAAGGUGUCGGCUAAAAAUAGACAUCUGAGUCUCUCCAGGUAAACCAAAUGAACUAUUUGUGCAAACUUUUAAAGAAGUAGACAAGACCAAUGUGAGCAAUGGACUGGCAGGGAGUUAGUUAGGACAGAUGUACAGUGGCAACACAGAGGACCAGCUGUGCAAGGACCCAGAAAGCGUGUCCCCCAACCAUACCCACCAGAAAACAGAAGUCUAGAAGGACUACUCCCUUCAUCCCUUCCUCCUCCCUCACGUCCUUGGACUGACAAACACCUUCUCAUCUGAAUGCAUCCUCAUUACUUUUCCCCAUCUGUAUUGUAUCAACUUGAUAAUGCUUGUCAGUUAUCUAUUGAUAAAAAAUCAUCUCAAAGCUUCCUGGCUUAAAAUAAAAAUAAAUGCAUGAUUUCACUCUUCCUGUGGGCCAGGAAUUCAGGAGCAGUUUAGCUGGCUGUUUCUGGCCCAGGGUCCUUCGUGAGAUUCAGUUAAAAUAUUGGCUUGGAACUACAGUCAUCUGAAAGCUUGACUAGACCUGGUGUCAACACUUCUAGGAUAACUGAUGCUGCUAAUACAAUACAACUGAAACACGAUGUCAUGUUUCCAGCAGGUACAAUACACAACAACCUUAGGAGGACAGACCACAGAAAAGAUGUAGUAAAAUAAUCAGAAAGUCAUGAAUUUUAAGUAUUUUCCUUUUGUUUUAAUAUAAUUUCAUUUUAAUUUUAAUAUAAUUUUAUUUAAUUAUGAGUGUGUAAUUUAAUUUUAAACAAUGUCUGUCUUACAAUCAGUUUGCCAAAUUCCUGAAAAUUCACCAAUAAACUCAAAUGGGCUGGUAUGAGUUGCCUUCUGCCACAUUCCUUGACCUUACGCUUAGCCAUGUGACUUGCUGUGGGCAAUGAGGAUUAAUAAACAUGACACAGAGAAGUGCUUGCAGGUUAUUCUUUACUUUUUUGCUCCUCUCUUUUAAAUAUGGAAACAUUUCUGGGCUGGUCUGUUGAAAGAUGAGACAGUGAAGCAGAACUGAGUGGUCCACUUGUCUCAGUCAAGGUCACCUGGACUAGAAGUCCAGCAGAUGACCCUAGAAAUGCAGAAGCCCAGUCAAGAUCAGAGAGAGUCCAGCCAAGACUAGACGAACCAAUCACAUGACCCACAGAUUCAUGAGUUAAAUAAACGCUUAGGCCCUGCCCCCUCCCCAACAUGUAAUUAUGCGAAGGAGGUAAUCUCAGAGAUUAUCUUCUUGUGGUCACUAUUGAUAACCACUUCAGUUUGGGGAUAGGAACACUUACAUUCUUCAGUCUUUCAAGGCUUAGAUACAGGGAUUUUAGUCAAAUCAGACUGCAAGUUAGAGAGUAAGCUUCCUUAGCAUAGUCAUGAUUCCUUUCAACUCGUAGACUUACCCUAGCCUCAGUUUGUUUUUUUAAUAGUGGUCAAAAGGGAGACAGUGAACAUUAAUAUUUUGUAUUUUUCUUACCAUUUUUGUCAAUCCUAUGUUCCUAUCAUGUGCCUUCCAAGACAUGGCACAUGUGAAAUUGUGAUCCAUUGUUUUGCCACCACAUGAUCAUGACUAGCCUUCUAGUUUCUAAUUACAAAGCCUGUACCCCCUACUGUUUGUCCCUGUUAAGCCAAUGCUGCAUUUUUAGAUACUUAAAUAUGUAACUUCUGAUCUUUUAUCUCUCUCUCUCACACAGUGUAUGUGCACAGCUUAGAGGUAGGGAGUUCAGAGCUAAUAUUUUAGCUCCAUAUUUUCAGAAUCCACCUCUCAAGGCCAUCAGCCCUAGGGGUGGCUCCAUACAUGUUCUUGGGCCAUUGGACUUGGGCUGAAUUGAACCAUCAAUUUUCCUGGUUCUCUGGCUUGCAAACAGCAGGCCAUAAGGGCCUUCGUAAUGAUGCUAGCCAACUCCAAUAAUAAAUCUCUCUUCUGUUUCUUGGGAUAACCCUAAUACUCUGUCCCAGAGACAAGAUUCUCGUUAUUUUGAUGCCUGUGUCCUCUAAUUGUAAACAUGUCUCUCAACUCUUUCGUGGGGUGUAUAGUCCAGGUAGAAUCCUUAAAUUCAGUUGUUGGAUUCCCUUUCCCUACCCUUACCUUAGUUGACUUUUGGCUUGGAUUGCAUUUUAUAUGAACUAAGUUAAGGUUUACAAAAAACUUUCAAGUAUGUCUUCCAAUGAGGAAAGGAUAGACCCAAAGACCCAAUGUAUGAUUUAGUUGAUGCUAUAAGGCAGAAUUCUUUUUGAUAGUUAUUAUUAUUUUGAUAGUUUUUCAUGCUCUUCAAAAACAGGAAACAUAUGUAAGAAGAAUCUGAGUCCAGUAUUAAUAAAGAGGACUGGGAGUAUUUCUGGAAACAAUGUAUUUCUGUCUUAGCUCAAGGGAAAUUCAUACUGAGGCACUGACAGAAACUGUCUAUAGUGUAAUAUAAACAAUGCAAAACAAUAAAACAAUGCAAAACAAAAUCCACUUAAGUAUGCCAGAAAUUAAAGAGACUCCUAAUUUAAUCCUCAGCUCUGUUAAGAAUUUAUGCACCUUUUAGAAUGGACUAUUGUAUAGAUGAUUGUAUUAAAUUUUUUUCUGAGAAAGUGAUUACCAGGAAUAAACAUAAAUUUAAUAAUAAAUAUGCCUGUCAAGCUACCU